rnacentral:tRNA from 1 species
UCCCUGGUGGUCAAGUGGUUGAGACUCUGCCUUCCAAUGCAGGGGUUUCUGGUUCAAUCCCUGGUCAGGGAG